GAUGAACGCUGGCGGCGUGCCUAAUACAUGCAAGUCGAGCGAACGGACGAGAAGCUUGCUUCUCUGAUGUUAGCGGCGGACGGGUGAGUAACACGUGGAUAACCUACCUAUAAGACUGGGAUAACUUCGGGAAACCGUAGCUAAUACCGGAUAAUAUUUUGAACCGCAUGGUUCAAAAGUGAAAGACGGUCUUGCUGUCACUUAUAGAUGGAUCCGCGCUGCAUUAGCUAGUUGGUAAGGUAACGGCUUACCAAGGCAACGAUGCAUAGCCGACCUGAGAGGGUGAUCGGCCACACGGAACUGAGACACGGUCCAGACUCCUACGGGAGGCAGCAGUAGGGAAUCUUCCGCGAUGGGCGAAAGCCUGACGGAGCAACGCCGCGUGAGUGAUGAAGGUCUUCGGAUCGUAAAACUCUGUUAUUAGGGAAGAACAUAUGUGUAAGUAACUGUGCACAUCUUGACGGUACCUAAUCAGAAAGCCACGGCUAACUACGUG
rnacentral:rRNA from 1 species